rnacentral:rRNA from 1 species
UACGUAGGUGGCAAGCGUUUGUCCGGAUUUAUUGGGUUUAAAGGGUGCGUAGGCGGUCUUCUAAGUCAGUUGUGAAAUACUUCAGCUUAACUGGAGAGGUGCAAUUGAUACUGGAAGACUUGAGUACUGAUGAGGUAGGCGGAAUGGACGGUGUAGCGGUGAAAUGCUUAGAUAUCGUCCAGAACACCGAUAGCGAAGGCAGCUUACUAAGGAGUAACUGACGCUGAGGCACGAAAGUGUGGGGAUCAAACAGG